CCUACGGGCGGCAGCAGUGGGGAAUAUUGCACAAUGGGCGCAAGCCUGAUGCAGCCAUGCCGCGUGUGUGAAGAAGGCCUUCGGGUUGUAAAGCACUUUCAGCGGGGAGGAAGGCGUUAAGGUUAAUAACCUUGGCGAUUGACGUUACCCGCAGAAGAAGCACCGGCUAACUCCGUGCCAGCAGCCGCGGUAAUACGGAGGGUGCAAGCGUUAAUCGGAAUUACUGGGCGUAAAGCGCACGCAGGCGGUCUGUCAAGUCGGAUGUGAAAUCCCCGGGCUCAACCUGGGAACUGCAUUCGAAACUGGCAGGCUAGGGUCGUGUAGAGGGGGGGAGAAUUCCAGGUGUAGCGGUGAAAUGCGUAGAGAUCUGGAGGAAUACCGGUGGCGAAGGCGGCCCCCUGGACAAAGACUGACGCUCAGGUGCGAAAGCGUGGGGAGCAAACAGGAUUAGAUACCCGAGUAGUC
rnacentral:rRNA from 1 species